rnacentral:rRNA from 1 species
UGGGGAAUAUUGCACAAUGGGCGCAAGCCUGAUGCAGCCAUGCCGCGUGUGUGAAGAAGGACUUCGGGUUGUAAAGCACUUUCAGCGGGGAGGAAGGCGUUAAGGUUAAUAACCUUGGCGAUUGACGUUACCCGCAGAAGAAGCACCGGCUAACUCCGUGCCAGCAGCCGCGGUAAUACGGAGGGUGCAAGCGUUAAUCGGAAUUACUGGGCGUAAAGCGCACGCAGGCGGUCUGUCAAGUCGGAUGUGAAAUCCCCGGGCUCAACCUGGGAACUGCAUUCGAAACUGGCAGGCUAGAGUCUUGUAGAGGGGGGUAGAAUUCCAGGUGUAGCGGUGAAAUGCGUAGAGAUCUGGAGGAAUACCGGUGGCGAAGGCGGCCCCCUGGACAAAGACUGACGCUCCGGUGCGAAAGCGUGGGGAGCAAACAGG